UUUACAUGAGAGUUUGAUCCUGGCUCAGGACGAACGCUGGCGGCGUGCCUAAUACA
rnacentral:rRNA from 1 species